AAGUGGCCUGGGUCUAUCCAUGACUCCCGAGUUUUGAGGUCCAGUACCAUUUCCCAGCGACUAUCACAAGGUGAAUUAUCUAGCGUUCUGCUGGGAGACAAGGGUUAUGCCUGUGAGACGUACCUUCUCACUCCCCUUGCAGACCCUCAGACAGCAGCACAGCAAGGAUACAAUCUUGCCCAUGCAAGAACAAGGGCCCGAAUUGAGAUGGCAUUUGGCCUUCUCAAGUCACGUUUUCAGUGUCUCCACCACCUGAGGGUCGCCCCAGACAGGGUCUGUGACAUCACUGUAGCCUGCACUGUCCUACAUAAUAUUGCCUGUCUGAGGAAGGAAGGGGGUCCUGCACUGGCACCGGAUAUUGAGUGGGACAAUGCGGCUAUAUUCCUAGAUGACAUUAAUGGCAGGCUGGUCAAAGACCAAUACAUUAAUUAUUUCAGAUGACUGAUUUAAUUGUCUUGUCCUUCUCUAAUAAAGGAUAGUUUGCGUUACUCCUU